GACCUCCCAGGAUCGCAUCUGGAGAAUGGCUAGUAUUCUGCCAGCUUCGGAGACGGGAGGGAAAACAACCCAUUCCAUUCCCAGUUUGCUCAGUAGCUGGUGAUUGGAAGCUACUCUACGACAGUG